rnacentral:rRNA from 1 species
UACGAGUGCUCCAAGCGUUAUCCGGAAUUAUUGGGCGUAAAGGGUGUGUAGGUUGUUGUGUUAGUCUUCUGUUAAAUUCUUCGGCUUAACCGGGGGCAUGCAGGGGAAACGGCACAACUAGAGGAUGCGAGAGGUGAAUGGAACUCAUGGAGUAGGGGUGAAAUCCGUUGAUAUCAUGGGGAACACCAAAUGCGAAGGCAAUUCACUGGCGCACUCCUGACGCUGAAACACGAAAGCGUAGGUAGCGAAUGGG